rnacentral:rRNA from 1 species
CAAAGCACUUUGAAGAGAGAGUUAAAGAGGACGUGAAACCGAUAAGGUGGAAACGGAUAGAGCUGACGUAUCUAGCCUGUAUUCAGCUGCUGUCCUGGUGCUUGGCCUAUUUGCCGAUCCUGCUUUUGGUUGGUGGUGGGUUUUUGUGCUGGGUUCAGUAGUGCAUUUGCAGGUGGAGUGCGCCGAGGAAUACACUUCAGCGGUUGGAAUCCAGCUUUGAGGUCUCACCUUCGGGAGAGUAACCCUGGCUGGUGGAAGACUGUUUGUUGUGUACUGAUUGCAAUGAGCUUGGCCUACGAGCCGGCCAGCAGCUUAUCCAGCUGUAGAAGGUGGUCGCAUGCGAUUGCCCCUAUGGUGAGGUAGGUUGUUGGUGCAGGUUCUCUUGCUCGCUUUCGGUGUAAAAGUCGGUCAUCUAUCCGACCCGUCUUGAAACACGGACCAAGGAGUUUAGCGUGUACGCGAGUCAUUGAGUGUUGAAAACUCAAAGGCGUAAUGAAAGUAAAGGUAUCCUUUUGGAGCUGAUAUGCGAUCCCUGGCACUUCGGUGUUGGGGCGCAGCAUAGCCCCAUCCUAAUUGCUUGCAAUGGGGUGGAGGAAGAGCGUACUCGCUGAGACCCGAAAGAUGGUGAACUAUGCCUGAGCAGGAUGAAGCCAGAGGAAACUCUGGUGGAAGUCCGAAGCGGUUCUGACGUGCAAAUCGAUCGUCUGAC